CCCACCCAUGGCGACAAUAUAAUCGGACCGAUUCACAGGUUAUGGGUCAGUCUUGCUUCGAAUUUCGACGAGUACACAUCGCAGUUCUCGCAGAUGAAAUGGUGUGGUGGGGAUACUUUCCCACCCGUGACGACAACAAACUCGGACCUUUAGUUGACUUUGGCAAUUACUAGUUCAGUUCCGCUGUGUCUUCCGACGAGUGAACUUAGAAAUUUUCUCACUUUCGGAGGACUUUGGUAAUCUAUCUGCACGAGUGGACUUAGAAAUUUUCGUAGGAUGUCAAUGGAGCGAAUAUUAACGAAGACUUAAAAACCAUGUUGUGCAGAUGUAAUCGAGUGUUAGUAUCGCUAAAAUAAAUUUAUCGCGAAGU